AGGGAAUCUUCCGCAAUGGACGAAAGUCUGACAGAGCAACGCCGCGUGAGUGAAGAAGGCCUUCGGGUCGUAAAGCUCUGUUGCCAGGGAAGAACGUCUUCUGGAGUAACUGCCAGGAGAGUGACGGUACCUGAGAAGAAAGCCCCGGCUAACUACGUGCCAGCAGCCGCGGUAAUACGUAGGGGGCAAGCGUUGUCCGGAAUUAUUGGGCGUAAAGCGCGCGCAGGCGGCUGUUUAAGUCUGGUGGAUAAUCCUGGGGCUCAACUCCGGGUCGCACUGGAAACUGGACGGCUUGAGUGCAGAAGAGGAGAGUGGAAUUCCACGUGUAGCGGUGAAAUGCGUAGAGAUGUGGAGGAACACCAGUGGCGAAGGCGACUCUCUGGGCUGUAACUGACGCUGAGGCGCGAAAGCGUGGGGAGCAAAC
rnacentral:rRNA from 1 species